UUCCGUAACGGGAAUCUUCCCAAGCUUUCUCGAUGACAUGGUGGGACAUUGCUGCAAAGGAGCUCAAGUCAAGUACCAGCAAACUAGCGGACCAGCGGAUUUCUACAAGACUAUAAAGGAAAUGAAAUUGACCAAAUCUUCACUUUCAUUUGACAUGGUGUUGCCUGUUUACGUUGAAAGUUUUGGCAAAGAAUCAUUCGAAAAUUUAACAUUCGUAGCUAUGACUGAAUCACUUGGUAUGGCCGUGUUGAAACAUAGUAACGUCUCAAGGGGAAAACUCAUGGUCUCUCUUCUACAAUCGUGGCCAGUUUUGAUUUUUAUUCUACUCAUUGCCUCACUUGCGGGAAUUCUUAUUUGGAUAGUGGUAAGUAUUUCCAGUGGUGGGGGGCUCUCUUGACGAAGCUGAAGCCAUGAAAUUAUGAAAAAUUACCCAUUUCAAAGGUAGAAGGGGGCUCCUCCCCCCCACCUCUACAGCACUGAGUAUUUCCUGAAGGUAUAGCCCGCAUCUUCCUUAACAGUAGUGAUCUCGUCCACAAAUUCAAAGCCAG